CACUUGUGGGUGGAUUAGUGGCGAACGGGUGAGUAACACGUGAGUAACCUGCCCUUAACUCUGGGAUAAGCCUGGGAAACUGGGUCUAAUACCGGAUAUGACUCCUCAUCGCAUGGUGGGGGGUGGAAAGCUUUAUUGUGGUUUUGGAUGGACUCGCGGCCUAUCAGCUUGUUGGUGAGGUAAUGGCUCACCAAGGCGACGACGGGUAGCCGGCCUGAGAGGGUGACCGGCCACACUGGGACUGAGACACGGCCCAGACUCCUACGGGAGGCAGCAGUGGGGAAUAUUGCACAAUGGGCGAAAGCCUGAUGCAGCGACGCCGCGUGAGGGAUGACGGCCUUCGGGUUGUAAACCUCUUUCAGUAGGGAAGAAGCGAAAGUGACGGUACCUGCAGAAGAAGCGCCGGCUAACUACGUGCCAGCAGCCGCGGUAAUACGUAGGGCGCAAGCGUUAUCCGGAAUUAUUGGGCGUAAAGAGCUCGUAGGCGGUUUGUCGCGUCUGCCGUGAAAGUCCGGGGCUCAACUCCGGAUCUGCGGUGGGUACGGGCAGACUAGAGUGAUGUAGGGGAGACUGGAAUUCCUGGUGUAGCGGUGAAAUGCGCAGAUAUCAGGAGGAACACCGAUGGCGAAGGCAGGUCUCUGGGCAUUAACUGACGCUGAGGAGCGAAAGCAUGGGGAGCGAACAGGAUUAGAUACCCUGGUAGUCCAUGCCGUAAACGUUGGGCACUAGGUGUGGGGGACAUUCCACGUUUUCCGCGCCGUAGCUAACGCAUUAAGUGCCCCGCCUGGGGAGUACGGCCGCAAGGCUAAAACUCAAAGGAAUUGACGGGGGCCCGCACAAGCGGCGGAGCAUGCGGAUUAAUUCGAUGCAACGCGAAGAACCUUACCAAGGCUUGACAUGAACCGGAAAUACCUGGAAACAGGUGCCCCGCUUGCGGUCGGUUUACAGGUGGUGCAUGGUUGUCGUCAGCUCGUGUCGUGAGAUGUUGGGUUAAGUCCCGCAACGAGCGCAACCCUCGUUCUAUGUUGCCAGCGCGUUAUGGCGGGGACUCAUAGGAGACUGCCGGGGUCAACUCGGAGGAAGGUGGGGACGACGUCAAAUCAUCAUGCCCCUUAUGUCUUGGGCUUCACGCAUGCUACAAUGGCCGGUACAAAGGGUUGCGAUACUGUGAGGUGGAGCUAAUCCCAAAAAGCCGGUCUCAGUUCGGAUUGGGGUCUGCAACUCGACCCCAUGAAGUCGGAGUCGCUAGUAAUCGCAGAUCAGCAACGCUGCGGUGAAUACGUUCCCGGGCCUUGUACACACCGCCCGUCAAGUCACGAAAGUUGGUAACACCCGAAGCCGGUGGC
rnacentral:rRNA from 1 species